GACGAACGCUGGCGGCGUGCUUAACACAUGCAAGUCGAGCGGAAAGGCCCUGCUUUUGUGGGGUGCUCGAGUGGCGAACGGGUGAGUAACACGUGAGUAACCUGCCCUUGACUUUGGGAUAACUUCAGGAAACUGGGGCUAAUACCGGAUAGGAGCUCCUGCUGCAUGGUGGGGGUUGGAAAGUUUCGGCGGUUGGGGAUGGACUCGCGGCUUAUCAGCUUGUUGGUGGGGUAGUGGCUUACCAAGGCUUUGACGGGUAGCCGGCCUGAGAGGGUGACCGGCACCAUGGGAAUGAGGUUACGGCCAGGACUCUUCGGGGAGGAGGAGGGGGGAAUAAUGGACAAAGGGGGGAAGCCCUAAGCAGGAACGGCGGGUGGGGGAUGGCGGGCCUUCGGGUUGAAACCCGCUUUCGCUUGGAAGGAGGGGGGGGGGACGGUAAUGGGUAAAGAAGAACGGGUAACUAACGU
rnacentral:rRNA from 1 species